GACGAACGCUGGCGGCGUGCCUAAUACAUGCAAGUUGAGCGAUGAAGAUUGGUGCUUGCACCAAUUUGAAGAGCAGCGAACGGGUGAGUAACGCGUGGGGAAUCUGCCUUUGAGCGGGGGACAACAUUUGGAAACGAAUGCUAAUACCGCAUAACAACUUUAAACAUAAGUUUUAAGUUUGAAAGAUGCAAUUGCAUCACUCAAAGAUGAUCCCGCGUUGUAUUAGCUAGUUGGUGAGGUAAAGGCUCACCAAGGCGAUGAUACAUAGCCGACCUGAGAGGGUGAUCGGCCACAUUGGGACUGAGACACGGCCCAAACUCCUACGGGAGGCAGCAGUAGGGAAUCUUCGGCAAUGGACGAAAGUCUGGCCGAGCAACGCCGCGUGAGUGAAGAAGGUUUUCGGAUCGUAAAACCCUGUUGGUAGAGAAGAACGUUGGUGAGAGUGGAAAGCUCAUCAAGUGACGGUAACUACCCAGAAAGGGACGGCUAACUACGUG
rnacentral:rRNA from 1 species